CGGAACCGCUUUAUUUUUACCCGCAGCUCCACCGCGGUCACCCCUUUCGCGAUGACUUCACUUGUUGCGACCGUUUUUACCGGCAACGCGGUGUCAGUGUUACAGGGAGAAUGGCCAGCUUUGUGUAACGCAAUGCGCUUUAAAGAUAUAUUUAAAGAGUCUACUUGUGGCACAAAAGGUGUUAAAAACUAAAUAUAUAGUCUUAUAUUUUAUUUUAAAUAAAUAAAAUGACUUUGUACGUAAGUCGAUGGUCAUUUGUACGCUUUUGUCCAUAUAUUGUGUGUGUGGAAGUUAUAUGAGAAAUAAAAAUGUAUUAACUCGUAUACGUUUUUUUAAUAAUGAUUAUGAUUAUAUAAGUUUACGCACACGUACGCUGCUUUCAACAUCAGUGAUGUGUGAUUAUAAUAAAAUAAAUGUUUCGUAAAAAACCAUCCACUCAUUUGAAGUAAAUUAUUAGACAUUCCAUAUUAUUUUCUUUCUCUCUUUUUAACUUUUGCCCAAAACGAAUUACUUUCAGGGUAAGACCUAAAUGUGAUAAUAUUCCAGAAGUACUUAUAUUUUUAGGAUGAUAGUUUAGACGUAACAACACAGUUUGAUGUAAUUUGUUUUAUCAAUUGGUUUAAUUUUAUUCAUAAAUCGGUUUGUUUUGGUGUUAAAUCAAAAGCAUUCGCAUUUUCUGUCCUUUUCGAGACAUUCCCGUUACUGUUCACCGCAAAGCUGAUCUGUUAAAUUAAGUUUUUGCAGACACCUGGUGGUGACUAACUGUAAGUGCACGCGAGUUAUUAAUUAUUAAUGGAGAUUAGAUCAGAUUCAGACACUUAACCAGGUGUGUCCACAUGCACGAAAGAUUUGUUUCCUGAAGCCAGUUUCAAGCAAUGCUUUUGAGGCCCGACUCCUUAAUCCUAAAGAGGAUGCGGGGGACCAUGGGAGGGACCGAGUGGCGGCUGCACUCCUCGAUCCACUCCGGCAGGCUCUCGAAUGAAGCCAGGCUGGUCACGUCGUACACAAAGAUGAUGGCGUGGACGUUUCGGUAGUAAUGCUCCACCAUGCUCUUCCUGAAGCGCUCCUGUCCCGCCGUGUCCCAGAUCUGCAGCUGAGAAUGACAAUGCAAUGUGCAUCAUUGUAGAGAUUCAAUUAUACAAGAGUAUUCGUAUUUACUGACGUGCGCUUCAUAUUUAUUGUUGUUUGUAUUUUCUGUCCUUGCACUAGUUUGCACACUGGGUUCUGCGCUCUACUCCCCUGCUGUUUGCACUAGUCUGCACGCUUUGCACUUUAUGUGGCUAAGACACUGUCUUAGUUCGGCAUGUGAGUUUUAUUGUAUUGUGUGUGACUUCAUGUAGCACCAGGUCCAGGAGAAACGUCGUCUCAUUUCACUAUGUAUUGCACGGCUAUAUGUGGUUGAAAAGACAAUAAAAAGCCACUUGACUUGA